CACAUCUGAAGGCCAAUAUUCCAUUAUAAUGAUAGCGCCACCUGCUGGCAACGGUAAGAUUGGCACAUAUAUGGGAUAUACUUUGAUAUAUUCCACUUAUAUUUAGGACAUUAAAUGCAUAUUUCUCAACGUUCACCUUUUUACUAAAGCCACACGAUGGCGGUGAGCCCGGGUGCGAGGGCCCGUUCAUCGCUGCUUGCAGCUUUAAUUAGGGCUCAAGCCCAAAGGGCGAGAGGCCUAUUGUUUUCCUUAGGAUUAUUUUUAGGGCUCAAGCCCAAAGGGCGAGAGGCCUAUUGUUUUCCUUAGGAUUAUUUUUUAUUAUUAUUAUUAUUUUUUUUUUUUUUUCCAACGUCUCGGGGGCUUUUGGGGCCCUUAACGUGCUUAAAAAGUCUUGAAAAUUGGCACACAGAUUGGAACCUGCGGCCAUUAGGGCCGGGCAGAGACUGAUACACGGGCGUGGCACAGGGGCUCUACAGCGCCCCCUGGAAUAUGGAGGGCCAUAUAUCAUACAUUCUUGCUCGUAGACGAAUGAAACUCGGUACACAUAUAAAUCUCAUCAAUCCAAACAACUUUUGUAUUGCAUAUCAUAGGCUCCGCCCAACAGGAAGUUGGCUAUUUAGGGUUUAGUAUUCAAAUUUUUCGUCAAAGUUGUGGGGGCUUUUGGGGUCCUUAACAUACUCAAAAACUCUUGAAAAUUUGCGCACACUUUGGAAUCUGUGGCCUUUAGGAGCCUGCAGAGGCUGGGACCCGGGCGUGGCACAGGGGCUCUACGGCGCCCCCUGGAACACAGUCAGAAAUGUUGAUGUAUAGCUCACACAUACUUGCACAUAUUCAUAUGAAACUAGGUACACAUAUAGAUCUCAUCGUGCCGAACAACUUUCGUAUUGCAUGUCAUAGGCUCCACCCAACAGGAAGUCAGCUAUUUAGAGUUAUGUAAAAAGCGCAUGCUCUGGAAUUUGAAAUACUUGUCAUAGGUUUUUUGCUCGAUUGCCGCCAAACUCGGUCAACAUGAUCUCAAGACACUGGGGAUGAAAAAUUGCCAGGGGAUUUUUGAUAUCUCGAACGGUUUGCUCGUGGCGAGGCGUUGAAAUUAUGGCGAGAAAUGAGAAACAGGAAGUGUCUAAUACCGUCCACAUACAUUUCCUGAUUUUAAUCAAACUUCAUCAGAUUAUUCUUUGUAUGAUGUCGAUCGCAUAUAUGUGACUAUUAGGAGUCAAAGUUAUAGCGCCACCAACUGGCAGAAGGAAGUGUGUCAUUUUCAAAAUGAUUUGAAUUCAGCAUCUUAUUAUUACUCGAUUUGCUUCAAACUUCAUCAGAAUAAUGUUAAAACACAGCCGAUAUAAAUCUGCAAGGGGGAUAUUGAUAUCUAAAAAAUUGUUGGCGUGGCAACAUGUCAAACUGGAAUACUUCUCAGGUGAUUUUGAGGCAAAUAACAUACUUAGAAUUUCACAAAACUCUGAACACACAUCAGUAUUUCUGAUAGGAACUUAAAUUGUGAAUGGAUUUUGGAUAGCUUGAAUGGUUUUGCCGUGGUGAUUUUUUAAAAUGACAAUAAAGAUGGAAUUAUUAAUUUUCCUGCAUUUUUAAAUUCCAAACACUUCAAAACCUUUUUUCAUACAGAAAAAAAGUUAUUCUGAGUAAAUAUGCAUAGUUUCAUGACUUUACAACACUGUAUGGAUAACAGAAAAUUAAAAAACUGUCAGACAUCUCA